CAGUAACUUUAUUGGCGGGUGACUUGACUUGACCUCUUCACAGGCAUUUCUUUCCAAUAUGUCAUUGGAGAGUAUGCAUUCAUGUUGUGAAUCGGCACUAGUUUAACAUCAACAGUAGGCUACAAAUGCGUUUGUGCAAAAAAAAUUAGUAAAUGGGAAUAUCACUCAUUGCCUCCCGCACCCCAGUCUCACUACAAAAACCCAUCAAACGAGGAUGGUAGCCAUAGCUCCCCUAGCCCUGUUGCAUGAAUCCACCUGCUAACACUCUGCUUGUAGCAUGGUGUCCAACUCGGCUUCGGCUUGAUGGAUGUAUUAAGGCCCUCAUGGCAGCCCUCUGUGCAUCUGGACUGACCACAGACACCACUGUAGUUAAUCAGCAGCCAUUGUGAAUGCCGACUGCAGGUUGUCACUGGUUCAUUCUACUUGUCAUAUUAACAGAUGGACUCCACAGUAAUGAUAGCCCCCCCUGGUCCCUGAGUAACAGUGUAAUUUCCAUCAUAAAACUAAUGUAACGUGAGAUAGCCUUUAGUCACCAUUGUCAUAUGAAGAAAAAGUGGAAAUACUUUACACUUUUUCUCCUGUCUUUAAUUGCUGGGGUUUGUAUUCAAAUCUCGGGAAAGGUAUUGGUGUUACACGGUGUUAAAUUCCAAGCUGAUUAAGAUAAAUCAAUAUUUAAUAUCUGUAGCAGU